UACGUAGGGGGCAAGCGUUGUCCGGAAUUAUUGGGCGUAAAGAGCGUGUAGGCGGCCAGAUAAGUCCGCUGUGAAAUCUCGAGGCUCAACUUCGAGCUGUCGGUGGAAACUAUCUGGCUAGAGUCCGGAAGAGGAGAAUGGAAUUCCUGGUGUAGCGGUGAAAUGGGCAGAUAUCAGGAAGAACACCCGUGGCGAAGGCGGUUCUCUGGGACGGUACUGACGCUGAGACGCGAAAGCGUGGGGAGCGAACAGG
rnacentral:rRNA from 1 species